rnacentral:rRNA from 1 species
AUCCUGGCUCAGAUUGAACGCUGGCGGCAGGCUUAACACAUGCAAGUCGAGCGGAGUGAUGGUGCUUGCACUAUCACUUAGCGGCGGACGGGUGAGUAAUGCUUAGGAAUCUGCCUAUUAGUGGGGGACAACAUUUCGAAAGGAAUGCUAAUACCGCAUACGUCCUACGGGAGAAAGCAGGGGAUCUUCGGACCUUGCGCUAAUAGAUGAGCCUAAGUCGGAUUAGCUAGUUGGUGGGGUAAAGGCCUACCAAGGCGACGAUCUGUAGCGGGUCUGAGAGGAUGAUCCGCCACACUGGGACUGAGACACGGCCCAGACUCCUACGGGAGGCAGCAGUGGGGAAUAUUGGACAAUGGGCGCAAGCCUGAUCCAGCCAUGCCGCGUGUGUGAAGAAGGCCUUAUGGUUGUAAAGCACUUUAAGCGAGGAGGAGGCUACUGAAGUUAAUACCUUCAGAUAGUGGACGUUACUCGCAGAAUAAG